AACAGAGUCAGCAGAAGCUGAGGAGAAAGAACUGCUGUCUAUGUAACACUGAUCCCUCUGGCACUCACUGCCUGGAAGGCCAGGUUUCUACAGUACAAGUUAGGGAAGAGAUAAACUCAGGGAAGAAAUGUGUCCAGAAAAUUCUCUUGGAGAGGCACACACUUUGGAAAUGUACAUCGCCAAGGAAUAUACACAGGAUAUGCCCAUCUGCCGGCACAUGGACAACCAGAGCAACUCCUGCUUCCUCAUAGGGUAGGGGCAACUAAUACCACCGUGGCUGAGCUGCUGAUAGCCUCUGAUGAUAUUGGACCAGUUGCUUUGGCCACGGAGUCAUCAGUUGUCUGGGUUGUCUUUCAAAUCAUUCAAGAAGCUCCACUUAGCAGAACUGAAAGGGAGCCUGGUGGACUUGAGUUUAGGGGAUUCCUUUCCAUAUAUAACCAAUGAUGCAUUGUUCACCAGACAAAUCAGUGACUGAAAAGGCCCAGGUAAAGCUGAUGGAAACUUUGUGCUAUGUCUCAUUAGGAGUAAAAAUGUUUGUGUUCCCUGCACUGGCAUUUGAGGCUCCUGCUUACCUUCCCCUUCAUGGUUCUGAAUACUCCCUUUCACAAAACCCACAUUCCAGUCCAACUAGAUAAUGGAAUAUGACAUUCCAUUUCCUUUCUCUUUGUUUUCAUGAAGACCAUGUCCCUCAUACUUCUGCUUCUUAAAAUCCUUGUCAGCCUUCAAGGCUGAGCUCAGAUAUCACCUCCCCUGUGAAGGCUUCUCUGAUUCUCAAGUUAG